rnacentral:misc_RNA from 1 species
AAAGUCGUAACAAGGUUUCCGUAGGUGAACCUGCGGAAGGAUCAUUACUGCUUGCUCAUGGCCGUCCCUGGGGGCAACCCCUUGGGCGGUCCGGCAACCACACCCUUGUCUAUGUAUACCUUUUGUUAUUUCCCUCGGCGGGGUGACCCGCCGCUGGGGACACCGAACCCUCUUGUAUUAAAGCAUUAAAACUUCUGAACAAACCUAAAUUAUUACAACUUUCAACAAUGGAUCUCUUGGUUCUG